AGUGAACGCUGGCGGUAGGCCUAACACAUGCAAGUCGAACGGCAGCACAGUAAGAGCUUGCUCUUACGGUUGGCGAGUGGCGGACGGGUGACGAAUACAUCGGAAUCUACUUUUUCGUGGGUGAUAACGUAGGGAAACUUACGCUAAUACCGCAUACGACCUACGGGUGAAAUCAGUGGAUCUUCGGACCUUGCGCGAUUGAAUUAGCCGAUCUCGGAUUAGCUAGUUGGAGGGGUAAAGGCCCACCAAGGCGACGAUCCGUAGCUGGCCUGAGGGGAUGAUCAGCAACCCGGAACCUGAGACCCGGCCCAGACUCUUAGGGGAGGAAGAAGUGGGAAACAUCGGAAAUGGGGCGAAAGCUUGCUGCAGCCAUACGGGGUAGGUGAAGAAGGCCUUCGAGUGGUAAAGCCCUUUUGUUGGGAAAGAAAAGCAGCAGGUUAAUACCCCGCUGUUCUGACGGUACCAAAAGAAUAAGCACCGGCUAACUCCGU
rnacentral:rRNA from 1 species